AAUGGCCUGUGCUGACUGGCUUGGGAACCGGAUCCGUUCCUGCAUCUGGAACCAAUGGCUGAGGAAAAGCAGGGGAACAAGUGGACAGAACCGGGGCUUUGCUGGGAGGACACGGGAGGGACCACUGCUGUCCUCGCUCACCUCUUUUACUUUACCAAAAGAAGCAGGGAAUUUGGAUCUCAGAUGAAAUCUCCCAAUUUUUAAAUAAAGGCAACCAAUUUAAUUUUUUUCUGAUGCUCAAUAAUGUGUGGCCCAACAAAGCACGAUUAGGCAAAUCUGAAGGAGGGCCUUGGCCUCCCGUGUACUGUGUCUGGGGAGGCAGAGACCCGACGGAAAGGAUGAAGGACGCGGUGAGCGCUUGGAACCCGGCAGAGAGGGAGACUCGGACGGCCAGGGUGCCGGGACUGAGAAGUUCUUGGUAUAUUUUUUCAUUCGUCUUGUGACUGAGUGGGAAUAACACAUGGGAUCGAGUUCAGUGAGCCCCCAGCAGCACCUCCGAGACCUUGGAAAGGCCAAGAGCUUUCUUGAGAACUCACUACCUGAGCAGAUGGGGGAUGACUGGAUAAAGUGCCAGUUCUUUGCUUGUCUAAGGUAUUACUCCAGCAAUAUCUUAAUUAAGUCUAGAGUCAAAAUGAAAUAUGUUUCCAAAGUAUGUUUCUAAUCCUUUCAAACUUGCACUUUUGAUGUGUGAUCCUUGGCCACCUUUUUAAAAUGGUGUCUAUUAUGUCAAUAAAUCAUCUGAGACACGUCAGCCAGGACAUUGGAACCUCUGGCAGAAGGGAGGGCUGACUCCCGGAGACAUGCAGACAGCGGCUGCCUCACUCCGGGCCUGGGGCCUUGCAUGGCCGCAGGCACCAGGUAAGGCUUGCCCCCCUGGAGGUUCGGAAUCAGACAGCAGAAAGGGAGCCCUGGAGUCGGAGACAAACAGAUUUGGCUCCCAGCCCUGCCUGCUAGUUCGCUGUGUGACCUUGGACAAGCUGCCUGAACUUUCUCAGCCUGCCCUUGCUUGUGUGUAAAAGGGGCGUCGCGGUGACCACCAUGCAGGGCACUGUGAGGACUGAAUGAGAGAACAUUCCCGGAAACAAAACCUGUAUGAAACCCAGCAGAAAACAGAUUCAGGAUGAUACCUCUGUACUGAUAACAGGCAGAAAAAGAAUCACCAAGGAUUCCGAGACAUAAGAGGCUCAAAUUCACUUACGACGAGAAAACUGUGGGUCAAGCACACGGAGACACUGGUGCUGGCCUGCUGGACUGGAAAGUCUGGCACUCACUGUUUCGCUGCUGGGCCGAUUACGGCGAGACAGGCACAGGCAAUGCUGGUUCCGGGCAAAACAAUGCAGCAUUUAUCAAAGUGGAAAAACAUUCCCGGUGAGCCAGCAAACUCACCGCUGAAAAUUUCUCCAGCAGAUACUCCUGCGCAUAUACAAAUGAUAUAUUUACAUGGUUUCUCCCAGGAAAACUUGUGAUAGUGAGAACCUUGAAACAGUACAGUAUUCAUUCCGGGGCUGGUUUACGUCAGUGACGUCACACCCCACAGCCGGGACAGGACGCGCUGGAAACAGGAACAGGGAAGCUGGGCUGGGUCGCUACGUGACGCAAGCAGACGCGGGCUGAUGAGCACAGUGGCUGCCUUUUUUCGGUAGGAGAGGAGAAGUGAGGGACAAAAGGGCACACCUGCCCUUGCCUCUUUUUGCAUAAUGAAAUACUAUGAGGAUAAACAAUAAACUAAUACAAAUAAUUUCUUGUAGGUGAAUGGACUGGGAUGGGAGUGGGAUAUUUGAGUAAAUUUCUUACAUGAAUUUUAAUUUUUACGUAUUUUAAUGCAUUACUUGUUUAAAACAAUUUCGAAUGUAAAACUUGAUGAAAAAUAAACUUAAAGAUCUACAAAACCUUA